GACAGAGGCCCCAAGCGUUAGGCGGAAUCACUGGGCUUAAAGCGUGUGUAGGCGGACGCCUAAGUGUCUUGUGAAAUCCCACGGCUCACCCGUGGAACUGCUGGGCAUACUGGGCGUCUUGGGCCAACUAGGGGCAGCCGGAACAAGCGGUGGAGCGGUGAAAUGCGUAGAUAUCAGGAGGAACACCGAUUGCGAAGGCAGCUCGCUGGGACGUCACUGACGCUGAGACGCGAAAGCGUGGGGAGCAAACAGG
rnacentral:rRNA from 1 species